GUGCCUGCGCUCUGCUUUGAGAAAUAGGGGGCGUUCCCACAGCUGGGAAUGCUGGGUAUCAGCAAACAAGCUCUGGCCGUCACAGUGGUUCAAGCAUCAUCCGUGGAGGGAAAGUCGAUCCAGUGUGGUGCUGGAGGAAUUCAGCAAAGGCUGAGAAGGCUAAAUGAUAAAACUAGGCAUCAAAGUUUACUAGAAGCUGUCAGCAAGGUGACAAUUACAUAAGAAACACAGCUAUAAUGGAGCCUCUUCCAUCUUUGGUGAAGAUCAGAACAAUGAUAGUUACAAAAAAGAAAUUAGACGCUGGAUUCACAAGGAACUUUGGAACUGUCUUUCCAACCAUUCUGCCCUGUGGCCUUUCACAUUACACAGCCUGACCUUGGUAAAUGUGAACACAUAUUAUACAGAAGCAACUGUCACAUAUUCCUUACACACCUUCAAAUUAAUCCACAAGUGGUCUUUGCUGCAGUGAAGAGAUGAAAAAGACUAAAAUGCUGUUUGUGUCUCUCAGUGUGACCCAGAAGGACUAUGACCAGGGUGAAACUCUGUUCCCGUUGUACAAUUUUUUCCUCAGAUGGUCCUUUUUGAUCUCCAUCCUGGUGAUAUUCAACACUCAGGUGGGAGAGAGAAAAAAUUAAAACAGUGAGUUUGAAAUAAAGGUUGACGGGCUGUUUGAUAUUUAUCUGAAAUAACAAGCAGCAAACCACUUUUAUUUUGUUUUUAAAAUCAAUAUAAAGAAGCCAACUUGUCAGAAUGAAA